AUGCACCAUCUAGAGACCGACCCAGAGUUUAAUGGUCUAGGUGGUCUAUUUCGUCAGAUGCAUUCCAUCAUACUCAAUCCUCCAGAUUUUCUCAAGCCAUGUAUCUUCUACCUGUUAAUUUUUCCUCGAGACCUUGGCAUUCAGCGGAGGAGACUUGUAAGGCGUUGGAUCGCGGAGGGCUACUCCAAGCAAAGUGUGGAAAGACACGCGGAGGAGAAUGCGGCCAAUUUCUUCUCCGAGCUCGUCGAGCUCAACAUAUUCCAGCAGGUACAACGUUUGGCCAGCACCAACACAAUACAAGUUUAUUAUCAGGUGAAUAGUUUCAUCCGCGAGUACAUCUCGAGGCGGGUGGAAGAGAACCUUGUGUACGAACUCAGCGGCGACUGUGCCAUAACCACCCAAGGCAGAGGGCGUCACCUUAUCAUACUGCGAUGCUGGCACAGAGACAGAGUUGUGUUCGAGAGAGCAGACUUCUCACGGCUAUGGUCACUCACAGUGUUUGGGAAGUGGGAGUCCUUCAUCUCCAAGAGCAUGAAGCUUCUCCGGUUCCUUUCUCUACGAGGAUGUCAUGAGGUCCAUUAUCUGCCAAGUUCAUUAGGUGACCUGAAGCAGCUCCAGACUCUGGACGUCAGGCACACCUCAAUAGUUGCCCUGCCGGCGAGCAUCACCAGGUUAUACAAGUUGCAGUACAUUCGCGUCGGCGCCAACUUGGACUCGGAGUCGACACCGUCUGCUUCUUCAUCCAGCUGCUUACCAGAGAUGUGCAGGCGUCCUCACCUGGCCGGUGCUGAGGCGCCUAGAGGGAUCCGAAAGCUGACAGAGUUGCACACACUCGGCGUCAUCAAUGUCGCCGCUAUAGAGGGGAUUGUUAUCCUUGAAGAGCUCAAAAAGCUCACCCAACUGCGCAAGCUUGGACUGUCCGGCAUCAACUUGAAGAACAGCUCCAAGUUUUUGUCUGCGAUCUCGGACCACGCGCGUCUCGAAUCCUUGUCGGUGUGGCUGGACAAGGGCAAUGAAGGUUGCCUGGAUGACAUCAACCAGCCCCUGGAGAACCUUCGGAGCCUUAAGCUGUAUGGACUCGGAGAAGAGCUGCCUGCUGCUGUAUCAUCGAAGGACCUUAGCAAGCUCACGAAGCUGGACCUGGGAAUGGCUGCUUUGGCGCCAAGUGACAUGGACCACCUUGCCAGGUUGCCCAAACUACGUAUCCUGCGACUUCAUGUCAAGCAGUCCAGCAUCCAAUUUUGUACUGAAGAUAGCGAAGGAGAGGAGUUGCUCAGCUACGAGAAGGUGAAGGUCCUCGAGAUAUCCGGCAGCUCCGCCGGCUUACACGUGACCUUCGGAUCGAAAUCGAUGCAGAGUCUUGAGCAUCUCAAGCUGGACUGCUCCAGCUGGUCAUGGUAUUAA
rnacentral:rRNA from 1 species